GACGAACGCUGGCGGCGUGCUUAACACAUGCAAGUCGAACGGUGAAGCGCUUGCCUUUUUGGUGGGUGUGGAUGAGUGGCGAACGGGUGAGUAACACGUGAGUAACCUGCCCUCUUCUUCUGGAUAACCUCAUGAAAGUGGGGCUAAUACGGGGUAUUCCGGGUCUGUCGCAUGGCGGGUUUGGGAAAGAUUGCGCCUUUGGGUGUUUUCGGUGGGGGAUGGGCUCGCGGCCUAUCAGCUUGGUGGUGGGGUGAUGGCCUACCAAGGCGGUGACGGGUAGCCGGCCUGAGAGGGUGGACGGCCACACUGGGACUGAGACACGGCCCAGAAUCCUGCGGGAGGCAGCAGUGGGGAAGAUUGCACAAUGGGCGCAAGCCUGAUGCAGCGACGCCGCGUGAGGGAUGGAGGCCUUCGGGUUGUGAACCUCUUUCGCCAGUGAAGCAGGCCUGCUCCUGUGUGGGUGGGUUGACGGUAGCUGGAUAAGAAGCGCCGGCUAACUACGUG
rnacentral:rRNA from 1 species